UCCCGCGUAAUUUAAGCAUAUUAAUAAGCGGAGGAAAAGAAACUAACAAGGAUUCCCCUAGUAGCUGCGAGCGAACAGGGAGGAGCCCAGCACCGAAUCCUGCGCGCCCCGAGCGCGUCUGGAAAUGUGGUGUUCGGGAGGAUCCGAUUAUCUCGCCCGGGGACGCCAGUCCAAGUCCAUCUUGAAAGCGGCCACAGCCCACAGAGGGUGCCAGGCCCGUAGGACGGCGGCCGGCCUCGGGCGAAAGGGUCUCUCNNNNNNNNNNNNNNNNNNNNNNNNNNNNNNNNNNNNNNNNNNNNNNNNNNUCUUGAAGCACGGACCAAGGAGUCUAACAUGUGCGCGAGUCAUUGGGACCGCACCGAAACCUAAAGGCGUAACGAAAGUGAAGGCCGGCAGCGGCGACGCGCGAACCCACGGGGACGCGCGCCCGCCCUCCGCCGAGGGGGGAUGCGGCCCGUCCUUGAGCGACGCGGCCGCCGCACCCCCGGGGCGUCUCGUUGUCAUCGCGACACAGCAGGCGCACCCAGAGCGUACACGUUGGGACCCGAAAGAUGGUGAACCUGGCGCUCGGAGACAUUGUGGAGCGGCGCCGAGGUCGCGCAAGCGGCCGGAGGCCGCACGUAACCAGUCUCAUCUGGUAAAGCGAAUGAUUAGAGGCCUUGGGGCCGAAACGACCUCAACCUAUUCUCAAACUUUAAAUGGGUGAGAAAUUCGACUUGCUCGAAUGCAAUGAAGUCGAAUAAGAUAUAUUGACAGGAUGAACGAGUGCCAAGUGGGCCAAUUUUGGUAAGCAGAACUGGUGCUGUGGGAUGAACCAAACGUCGAGUUAAGGCGCCUAAAUCGAUGCUCAUGGGAUACCAUGAAAGGCGUUGGUUGCUUAAGACAGCAGGACCGACGUUGAUGUGCAGUCGAUUGAACAAAUAUAUAUAUUACGAGAAUGACCACAUCGGGCGAAAGGGAAUCCGGUUCCUAUUCCGGAACCCGGCAGCGGAACCGACCAUGCGGGCCAAUGUCGCGCAAGCGGCAACUCGUCGGGGUAACCCAAAAGGACCCGGAGACGCCGUCGGAUGAUCGAGGCAGAGUUUUCUGUUCUGUAUGAGCGUUCGAGUUCCCUGGAAUCGCCCAGCGCGGAGAUAGGGUUUGGAACGCGAAGAGCACCGCACUUGCGGCGGUGUCUCGAUCGAUCCCUCGGACCUUGAAAAUCCGGGAGAGGGCCACGUGGAGGUGUCGCGCCGGUUCGUACCCAUAUCCGCAGCAGGUCUCCAAGGUGAGGAGCCUCUAGUCGAUAGAA
rnacentral:rRNA from 1 species